UGAAGAGGGUGUGAUUUUUAAAGAUCAUUUUGCAGUAAGUCCAACCGGCCUCACAACCGCAGACCACGUGCAACCACACCAGCCACAUCCGGCUUCUUCACCUGCGGGAUCGUCUGAGACCAGCCACACGGACAGCUGAUGAAACUGAGGAGUAUUUAUAUCUGUAAUAAAGACAUUUUCGAGCAACAACAAAAAAAUCUGAUUGGCUGGGCCUGGCUCCCCAGUAUGUGGGCCUAUGCCCUCCCAGGUCCACCCAUGGCUGCCUCCCUGCCCAGUCAUGUUACAUUUAUUUCAAUUGACUGAUUUCCUUGUAUGAACUAUAACUCAGUAAAAUCGUUGAAAUUGUUGGAUGUUGG
rnacentral:lncRNA from 1 species